CGACUCCUACGGGGGGCAGCAGUGGGGAAUAUUGCACAAUGGGGGAAACCCUGAUGCAGCGACGCCGCGUGAGUGGAGAAGCAUCUCGGUACGUAAAGCUCUAUCAGCAGGGAAGAAAAAAAGUCUUUGGCUUUGGACGGUACCUGACUAAGAAGCCCCGGCUAACUACGUGCCAGCAGCCGCCGUAAUACGUAGGGGGCAAGCGUUAUCCGGAUUUACUGGGUGUAAAGGGAGCGUAGACGGUGCAGCAAGUCUGAUGUGAAAGGUCGGGGCCCAACCCCGGGCCUGCAUUGGA
rnacentral:rRNA from 1 species